rnacentral:rRNA from 1 species
AGUGAACGCUGGCGGUAGGCCUAACACAUGCAAGUCGAACGACAGCACAGUAAGCUCUUGCUCUUACCGGUGGCGAGUGGCGGACGGGUGAGGAGUACAUCAGAAUCUACUUUUUCUUGGGGGAUAACGUAGGACCACUUACGCUACUACCGCAUACGACCUACGGCUUGAAUCAGGGGAUCUUCGGACCUUGCGCGAUUGAAUGAGCCGAUGUCGGAUUAGCUAGUUGGCGGGGUAAAGGCCCACCAAGGCGACGAUCCGUAGCUGGUCUGAGAGGAUGAUCAGCCACACUGGAACUGAGACACGGUCCAGACUCCUACGGGAGGCAGCAGUGGGGAAUAUUGGACAAUGGGCGAAAGCCUGAUCCAGCCAUACCGCGUGGGUGAAGAAGGCCUUCGGGUUGUAAAGCCCUUUUGUUGGGAAAGAAAAGCAGCAGGUUAAUACCUCGCUGUUCUGACGGUACCCAAAGAAUAAGCACCGGCUAACUUCGUG